CUCACUCUCACCACACAAUUGGACAGAGAUAUAAUCUUUGGCUUCAAAACAUUCAAAUCUUACAAGAUUUAAUUUCGGUCAUUUGUUAAAGAAAUUUCAAGUCAGUUAAUGAUGGCCCUGAAAUUGUGGGUCUCAAUUCUGAUGGUUUGUGGGAUGGCUGAAUCUUUAGGCUCAAGCAAGGAAUGGAAAAUAAAUGUGCCAUCAAAAAUCUCUGUUCUUCAAAACUCAUGUGUGGUCAUUCCCUGUAGUUUCGUUUACCCCAAGACAAGAAAAAUAUUGACAACAUGGAAGGGAUACUGGAAGAGAGGGGGCACAGUUGUCGCAUCAAAUUUCCCCAAUUUGAAACCAACGCAUGAGUUCAACCAUCGAUCCAGAAUUACAGGAACUCUUCAAAGCGGCAACUGUACCUGGCAGUUGAAUCGUGUCAGAGAAACCGACACUGGUCCGUUUUACUUCAAAAUUGAAAUUCCAGAACAUAAAAGCUUCACUUUCUCAAAAAAUACUGUGACCCUCAAUGUCUUCCGAGUUCCUGAGCCCCCCAUCAUGUCUGUUGCAGUCCAAGAUCAAGUGACUGCCACUUGCAAAGUUACUCAUGUCUGUCCAGCCUCUCCUCCCAAAUUCGUCUGGAGCCACACUGGAAAACUGAAAACGAAGUCAAAAAAGCAGAAUAAAGGGUUGUGGUCAACAACGUCGACCCUCACCUUUACUCCUCAAGAAACCGACUUCAACAAGCCUAUAAACUGCACUGUGUUGUUCAAAGUCAACAAGUCUACAAAGGGCUCUGUGCUUCUCAUCAAGUAGAGUACCAAGUCAAUCUAAAUAUGGAGUACUAAAUUAGAGCAAUAAUUUUAGAGCUAUCUGCCAUAUGACAAAGUGAUUUUGCAGAAAAAGGCCCGAUUUAGUAAAACUACAAAAAAAUUAGAGAGACAAAUUCUUAUUGUUGCAUGCUUUGAUUCAUAUCAUCUUUUGAGUUUAACUUUACACUGACUAUUAAAUUUAAGUCAUACUCCAAAGUCUCCAUGUUUUUUGUAUUAAAUCUUUCAUCAGAGUGCUAA